AGCUUUUUGAAUCCGUGCUGAGAUUUCAUCAGAUACCAACUCGCUAGGGCUGAUCAGACUUCCAAGAUAAGUGAAAUU
rnacentral:pre_miRNA from 1 species